rnacentral:rRNA from 1 species
AUGAACGCUAGCGACAGGCUUAACACAUGCAAGUCGAGGGGUAACAGGGUAGCAAUACCGCUGACGACCGGCGCACGGGUGAGUAACGCGUAUGCAACCUGCCUAUAACUGGGGAAUAGCUCCCUGAAAGGGGAAUUAACACCGCAUAACACUAUUGAUUCGCAUGGAUUGGUAGUUAAAUGUAGCGAUACAGGUUAUAGAUGGGCAUGCGUGACAUUAGCUAGUUGGUGAGGUAACGGCUCACCAAGGCUACGAUGUCUAGGGGUUCUGAGAGGAAGGUCCCCCCACACUGGUACUGAGACACGGACCAGACUCCUACGGGAGGCAGCAGUGAGGAAUAUUGGUCAAUGGGCGCAAGCCUGAACCAGCCAUGUCGCGUGCAGGAAGAACCUGCCCUAUGGGUUGUAAACUGCUUUUAUAGUAGAGGAAACACAUCUACGUGUAGAUGUCUGCCAGUAUACUAUGAAUAAGCAUCGGCUAACUCCGUGCCAGCCGCCGC